rnacentral:rRNA from 1 species
UGAGUACGAGAUGCUACGGCAUCGAAGCAGUCUAUGUCAUACUUCCAAGAAAAGCUUGCAAUGUCAUAAACAAAUAAUGCCUGUACCAUAACCGACACAGGUGGGUAGGUAGAGUAUACUAAGGGGCGCGAGAUAACUCUCCCUAAGGAACUCGGCAAAAUGACUCCGUAACUUCGGGAGAAGGAGUGCCUUAUUUUUAUAAGGUUGCAAUAACAAGAUCCAAGCAACUGUUUACCAAAAACACAGGUCUCCGCUAAGUCGUAAGAUGAUGUAUGGGGGCUGACGCCUGCCCAGUGCCAGAAGGUUAAAGAAGUUGGUUAGCAUUAGCGAAGCUGAUAACUGAAGCCCUGGUGAACGGCGGCCGUAACCAUAACGGUCCUAAGGUAGCGAAAUUCCUUGUCGGAUAAGUUCCGACCCGCACGAAAGGCGUAAUGAUUUGGAUACUGUCUCGGAGAGGGGCUCGGUGAAAUAGACUUGUCUGUGAAGAUGCGGACUACCUGCACCUGGACAGAAAGACCCUAUGAAGCUUUACUGUAACUUGAGAUUGAAAUUGGACUUUAUCUGCGCAGUAUAGGUGGGAGACGUUGAAAAUAUUCUUGCGGGAAUAUUGGAGUCAUCAGUGAGAUACCACUCUUAUAAUGUUAGAUUUCUAACUUUGUAUCAUUAUCUGGUCAAAGAACAGUUUCAGGCGGGCAGUUUGACUGGGGCGGUCGCCUCCCAAACGGUAACGGAGGCGCACAAAGGUUUCCUCUGAACGUGUAGAAAUCGUAUCUAGAGUGUAAAGGCAUAAGGAAGCUUGACUGUGAGACCUACAAGUCGAGCAGGGACGAAAGUCGGUCUUAGUGAUCUGACGGUGCUGAGUGGAAAGGCCGUCACUCAACGGAUAAAAGUUACUCUAGGAUAACAGGCUGAUCUCCCCCAAGAGUUCACAUCGACGGGGAGGUUUGGCACCUCGAUGUCGGCUCAUCGCAUCCUGGGGCGGUAGUACGUCCCAAGGGUUGGGCUGUUCGCCCAUGAAAGCGGUACGCGAGCUGGGUUCAGAACGUCGUGAGACAGUUCGGUCCAUAUCCGGUGUAGGCGUUAGAAUAUUGAGAGGAGCCUUCUUUAGUACGAGAGGACCGAGAAGGACAUACCUCUGGUGUACCAGUUAUCGUGCCAACGGUAAACGCUGGGUAGCCAUGUAUGGAGAGGAUAACCGCUGAAAGCAUCUAAGUGGGAAGCCCACCUCAAGAUAAGUAUUCUC